UACGAAGGGUGCAAGCGUUAAUCGGAAUUACUGGGCGUAAAGCGCGCGUAGGUGGUUCGUUAAGUUAGGAGUGAAAGCCCCGGGCUCAACCUGGGAAUUGCUUCUAAAACUGGCGAGCUGGAGUAUGGUAGAGUGUGGUGGAAUUUCCUGUGUAGCGGUGAAAUGCGUAGAUAUAGGAAGGAACAUCAGUGGCGAAGGCGACCACCUGGACUGAUACUGACACUGAGGUGCGAAAGCGUGGGGAGCAAACAGGAUUAGAUACCCCCGUAGUCCCU
rnacentral:rRNA from 1 species